CGGAGUCUUACAAAGUAAACAUGGACAUUUAGUUCUAGCUAGAACGACCUGGCUGACUUUCCACAAGUUUGGUAAAAGCAACUCAGUGAACAGUGAGAGACCAGGCUGAACUGGUUCAGUUCUCCCUCAGACUAUGUAGGAAACAUUAGAUGAGCUAGUAGAUCAGGCUCCACAGGUUGUGGCGAUCACAGCCAAAGAAAACUGGACUGAGUAAAGGUUCUAGUGCAGCAGCAGGAGAGAUGAUUUUCCACCGAGCUGUAUUUCUCCGCGUUGUAUUUCUGAAUUUCUGACAUCUGUGAGCACAGCCGUCCAAAUGCGUCAUGGACUCAGUAGGUGUAGAUGGCAAGCAUCUGUUAAGCUUAUCCAUGUCCUCUGGGAUGUUGACACCGCAAUUUAGAGUGGAGACUUUCUCUGGCGAUUCUUUAGGCUGUCGACAACACGAGAAGGGCUAUCAACUGGAGUUUCCCAGCACACGUCCACCUCAGAAUUGUUAUAAUGGCAGCUUCUGAAACAUUCUCCUCACCUCCAUCGCCGUGGUGUCCAUGCAGGAGCACACAGUGGCUAUGCUAGGGACUGCAGAUGGAAGGGUCAUCCAGGUGGUGGUUUCUCGUUUCCCGUUUGACAACACAGAGCUGCAUGUGGACUUCCUCUUGGACAGUCUCCACGUGUCCUCAGAGGUGGCCCUGCUGUCUCCACAGUGACCAGAUGCCGCCGUACUGCUGGUCACAGGAAACAAGGUGUCUAAAGUGCCUGUGAUUGGUCCAGGCUGUGAGCAGUUGUGGAACUGCAGCUCGUGUCUCCUGGCUCCGUCUUUCAUGGGCUGCGGGUGGUGCAGGAACAGAAACCUCUGCACUCGGUCAGCUCAGUGUGAGACUU